UGAGGAAUAUUGCGCAAUGGGCGAAAGCCUGACGCAGCGACGCCGCGUGGGGGAAGAAGGUUUUCGGAUUGUAAACCCCUUUUAGGAGGAAAGAUGGGGUGGGUUUCCACCCGGACGGUACCUCCAGAAAAAGCCACGGCUAACUUCGUGCCAGCAGCCGCGGUAAUACGAAGGUGGCGAGCGUUGUUCGGAUUUACUGGGCGUAAAGAGCACGUAGGCGGUUUAGUAAGCCCCUUGGGAAAGCUAUGGGCUUAACCCAUAAAGGUCGAGGGGGACUGCUAAGCUAGAGGGCGGGAGAGGAGCGCGGAAUUUCCGGUGUAGCGGUGAAAUGCGUAGAUAUCGGGAAGAAGGCCGGUGGCGAAGGCGGCGCUCUGGAACGUCUCUGACGCUGAGGUGCGAAAGCGUGGGGAGCAAACAGGAUUAGAUACCCCCGUAGUCC
rnacentral:rRNA from 1 species